AUGCUAGUGGCGCACGGGUGAGUAACGCGUAACUGACCUGCCCCCAAGUCGCGGAUAACGUCUCGAAAGAGACGCUAAUACGUGAUGUGCAGUGCCGCUGUGGCGGCACUGUAAAGACUGGAUCGCUUGGGGAUGGGGUUGCGUUUCAUCAGCUGGUUGGUGGGGUAAAGGCCUACCAAGGCGACGACGAAUAGCCGGCCUGAGAGGGUGGCCGGCCACAGGGGCACUGAGACACGGGCCCC
rnacentral:rRNA from 1 species